UUUCUUACCCUUUUAACAUUUUGUUGACUUCACAGUGAUGAAUUUCCUACAACUGUUUCUCCCAAGAAAAAAGCACACACAACUAAAACCACAGCCUUGAGGAAGAAGAAACAUACGUUUGUGGAAGGUGAAGAAAUGCUGGCCCAAGAACAUUAAGUAACCUUUCAUAGCCUGUGAACAGCAGAAUCAGGAACUGAACGCCCUUCACUUACCUGUCUGCACCAAGUACUUGAUACUGACUUCAUCAACCGGGAAGAAGGUAGCAGUUGCUCCGUAUUCUGGAC